GUAGGAACAGAUGCUAAUACCGGAUAACAACAGAUGAUGCCUAUCAACUGUUUAAAAGAUGGUUCUGCUAUCACUCUUGGAUGGACCUGCGGUGCAUUAGCUAGUUGGUAGGGUAACGGCCUACCAAGGCGAUGAUGCAUAGCCGAGUUGAGAGACUGAUCGGCCACAUUGGGACUGAGACACGGCCCAAACUCCUACGGGAGGCAGCAGAC
rnacentral:rRNA from 1 species